GCUGCCAGUUGCCAACGGGUGAAGCCGGGCACUCUGGCGGGACUGCCAUCGACAAGAUGGAGGAAGGUGGGGAGUGACGUCAAGUCAUCAUGGCCCUUAUGUCCAGGGCGACACACGUGCUACAAUGGCCGGCACAGCGGGAAGCGAGGCAGUGAUGCCAAGCGGAUCCCUUAAAGCCGGUCUCAGUUCGGAUUGAAGUCUGCAACUCGACUUCAUGAAGCUGGAAUCGCUAGUAAUCGCAGAUCAGCCAAGCUGCGGUGAAUACGUUCCCGGGCCUU
rnacentral:rRNA from 1 species